CGUGUAGGCUGACCGGAAAGUCGGGCGUGAAAUCCCUGAGCUCAACUCAGGAACUGCACUCGAAACUCCCGGUCUAGAGUGGUGGAGAGGGAAGUGGAAUUCCUGGUGUAGAGGUGAAAUUCGUAGAUAUCAGGAGGAACACCAGUGGCGAAGGCGGCUUCCUGGACACCAACUGACGCUGAGACGCGAAAGCGUGGGAGCAAACA
rnacentral:rRNA from 1 species